CCUACGGGCGGCUGCAGUGGGGAAUAUUGCACGAUGGGCGCAAGCCUGAUGCAGCCAUGCCGCGUGUGUGAAGAAGGCCUUCGGGUUGUAAAGCACUUUCAGCGGGGAGGAAGGCGGUGAGGUUAAUAACCUCAUCGAUUGACGUUACCCGCAGAAGAAGCACCGGCUAACUCCGUGCCAGCAGCCGCGGUAAUACGGAGGGUGCAAGCGUUAAUCGGAAUUACUGGGCGUAAAGCGCACGCAGGCGGUCUGUCAAGUCGGAUGUGAAAUCCCCGGGCUCAACCUGGGAACUGCAUUCGAAACUGGCAGGCUAGAGUCUUGUAGAGGGGGGUAGAAUUCCAGGUGUAGCGGUGAAAUGCGUAGAGAUCUGGAGGAAUACCGGUGGCGAAGGCGGCCCCCUGGACAAAGACUGACGCUCAGGUGCGAAAGCGUGGGGAGCAAACAGGAUUAGAUACCCGAGUAGUC
rnacentral:rRNA from 1 species